rnacentral:misc_RNA from 1 species
UGGUUCUGGCAUCGAUGAAGAACGCAGCGAAAUGCGAUACGUAAUGUGAAUUGCAGAAUUCAGUGAAUCAUCGAAUCUUUGAACGCACAUUGCGCCCACCAGUAUUCUGGUGGGCAUGCCUGUUCGAGCGUCAUUUCAACCCUUAAGCCCCAGUUGCUUAGCGUUGGGAGCCUGCCGGGACUCUCCCGGCAGCUCCCCAAAGUUAGUGGCGGAGCACGGCUUGACGCUCCAGACGUAGUAAUCUUUACACAUCGUCUGUAGUUUGAGCGAAGUCCCCAGCCGUAAAACCCCCCCCCCAAAUCUGUAUAGGUUGACCUCGGAUCAGGUAGGAAUACCCGCUGA